rnacentral:tRNA from 1 species
GCCUGAGUGGCUCAGGGGUAGAGCAAUUCACUCGUAAUGAAUCGGUCGCGGGUUCGAUUCCCGCCUCAGGCUCCA